AGCCGCCGCGGUAAUACCCGCAGCUCGAGUGGUGAUCGGUUUUAUUGGGCCUAAAGCGUCCGUAGCCUGCUCAGUAAAUCCUUGGGUAAAUCGGGCAGCUUAACUGUCCGACCUCCGGGGAGACUGCUGAGCUUGGGACUGGGAGAGGUAGGAGGUACUCCGGGGGUAGAGGUGAAAUUCUGUAAUCCUUGGGGGACCACCAGUGGCGAAGGCGUCCUACUUGAACGGGUCCGACGGUGAGGGACGAAGCCCUGGGGCACAAACCGGAUUAGAUACCCGGGUAGUCCAGGGUGUAAACGCUGCGGGCUUGGUGUUGGGGGUCCUACGUGGGCGUCCAGUGCCGGAGAGAAGUUGUUAAGCCCGCCGCCUGGGGAGUACGGUCGCAAGACUGAAACUUAAAGGAAUUGGCGGGGGAGCACUGCAACGAGUGGAGCGUGCGGUUUAAUUGGAUUCAACGCCGGAAAACUCACCGGGGGCGACUGUUAGAUGAGGGUCAGGCUGAUGACCUUACCCGAUUUUCAGAGAGGUGGUGCAUGGCCGCCGUCAGUUCGUACCGCAAGGCGUUCUGUUAAGUCAGAUAACGAACGAGAUCCCCGCCCUUAAUUGCCAUCCUAUUCUCCGGAAUAGAGGAACAUUAAGGGGACCGCUGGCGCUAAGUCAGAGGAAGGUGGGGGCAACGGUAGGUCCGUAUGCCCCGAAUCCCCCGGGCAACACGCGCGCUACAAAGGUCAGGACAAUGGGUUCCUACAUCGAAAGAUGACGGCAAUCCCGAAACCUGAUCGUAGUUCGGAUUGAGGGCUGUAACCCGCCCUCAUGAAGUUGGAAUUCGUAGUAAUCGCGGGUCAACAUCCCGCGGUGAAUAUGCCCCUGCUCCU
rnacentral:rRNA from 1 species